rnacentral:rRNA from 1 species
CCUGGGGAGUACGGCCGCAAGGUUAAAACUCAAAGGAAUUGACGGGGACCCGCACAAGCGGUGGAUGAUGUGGAUUAAUUCGAUGCAACGCGAACAACCUUACCUACCCUUGACAUGUCCGAGAGCCCGCUGAGAGGCGGGGGUGCCCGAAAGGGAAUCGGAACACAGGUGCUGCAUGGCUGUCGUCAGCUCGUGUCGUGAGAUGUUGGGUUAAGUCCCGCAACGAGCGCAACCCUUGUCCCUAGUUGCUACGCAAGGGCACUCUAGGGAGACUGCCGGUGACAAACCGGAGGAAGGUGGGGAUGACGUCAAGUCCUCAUGGCCCUUAUGGGUAGGGCUUCACACGUCAUACAAUGGCCGGUACAGAGGGUUGCCAAGGCGCGAGCCGGAGCCAAUCCCCGUAAAAGCCGGUCGUAGUCCGGAUUGCAGUCUGCAACUCGACUGCAUGAAGUCGGAAUCGCUAGUAAUCGCGGAUCAGCAUGUCGCGGUGAAUACGUUCCCGGGUCUUGUACACACCGCCCGUCACACCAUGGGAGUGGGUUCUACCAGAAGUAGGUAGGCUAACCGCAAGGGGGCCGCUUACCACGGUAGGAUUCAUGACUGGGGUGAAGUCGUAACAAGGUAGCCGUAUCGGAAGGUGCGGCUGGAUC